AUCUGGGUUUCUGCUUUUGAUUAACUGUCUGUUCAUAAAAUUCUAGCAAGUUUGUUAUCAGGCAUAAACAAAUAAAUCAGUUACAACUGUUGUGCCAUAGACCAGAAGAUUACAAGUGCAAUAAGUUCCCAUUUUAUAGUUUAAGCCCCAUUAACCAAUCAAGAAGUCAAAAUGGCCACUACUUUUGAAGGCAGUAUCUCCCUCUUAUGCGACAUCUGCUUUUCUUGGCUUCCUGUUAAAUAUCAAAAUCCGGGCAGCGAUGGAUUGCAGGUUUCUCUUGUCAUACUGGGCAAGCUUCUAAUACUGUGGCUGAAUCAUGGGGAAUAACUUGAUGGUGGUUUUUAGCCUGGGAACUUAGCUUUCCUAACAUCAUGUACUUGUAGUUGUAACUUGUCAAUUACUGAAAUGUAUAUCUGCCGAAAUCUGAUUUCUUGCGUUCCAAAUCUUCUUUUAGAGUGUUGGACUUGUCUCCAGAGACUCACGCAGGGAAACCCUUGAGUUGAUUCCCUGCCACAAUGGGUCCUAAGCAACACAAGAUCAUUUGGAAUGCUAUCCUUACUCAUCACAUCUGAACUGAAAAGUGGAGCUCUGAUAGUCCAAUGAAAUGUUGCAAUCCAGUAAUCUUGCUUUACCAGGUCACAGGAGCAGAAACUUUGACAGGAUCGUUUGAAGAGAUAUAUAAAUUGGCCAGAAGAUGGCUAGCACUGCAUUGCAUGGUAUGCUUUAAGCCAGAUGGAGGCUCCCAUCUUUCCAAUUAGUUGUGUCACACCAAUGAAAUUGCCCAUACUAUCAGAAUGUGGUAGAACAAUCCCUUGUACAUCGAUGGUCAUUCCAUUAGUUGGAUGUGCCUCAGGCUGCUGUCCAUGCCUCUCCUAGUCUACUGUGCACUUGAGCACCAAAGCUUUAGCUUAUCAGAAUAAAUCAACCAGCAUAAAAAUGCUAACCCUAUAAGUAAACAACGAAAGCUAAUCAUAUCUUAAGGAGUGAGCAUGCACCACAGCUAGAACAUGUGAUAGAUUCUUUGGAUUUCCCCUAAAAUAUCUCAUUCAACAAGAAGUUUGCCUCUGUGCAAUUCCACAGUUUUUCCAUAAGCCAUGGAUCAUGUGCUUGAAAGUUAGACUAUUUGGUGCAAAUCCCACUUUCAGCAUCCUAUCUUGCAGCUCCAUCAAUUUAGUAACAUCAGCAACCUCACAAAAUAUUUUGACUAGUAUGUUGUAACUCUCAGGAUCAAAAAUUUGAAAUUCCUUGGCAAAGAAUUCCAAUAAUGAUUCUGCUUUUCCAAAAUCCCUUUCCCUGCAGUAUACAUGCACCAACGCCCUACAUAUUUCUGGAUCAGGUAGCAUGCCAGAUUGAAGCAUUUCUUCCAUCAAAGAUUUAGCCUCCGUACUUUUAUUUAUUCUGCAUAAGCAGCAAAUAAGAGCUUUAUAUGCAAUAGGAUCGGGUUUGAGAUUCCCACGAACCAUCUCAGUUUUUACAAGAAUUGCAUCAGCUACACUAUCAUUUUUGCAGAGAGAUUGAAUGAGUUUGUUGUAGAUUUCCACACCAGGCACAUAACCACGCUGAGAGAUUCUUUCCAUAAGACUCUUUGCUGCAAACGGCCGAUCCUCCUUGCAGACAGAAACUAUUAGAUAAUCAUAAAUAUCCCAGGAGACUGGAACAUGAAAUCUCUCAAGUUCCACAACCAAAUUUAAAGCAGAAAGUGCCCUACCCUCUUUAGCAUAUCCUUCUACAAGAAUCCGACAAGUAACAUUAUUUGGGCAAAUCCCACUUGCUAUCAUCUCGUGUAAUAAUGACCUUGACUCUUGCAUCUUCCCUUCCCUGCAAUAGCCACAGAUGAGAGUAUUAAAUGAAACUAUGUCUGGAUUCAACCUUCUGUGAACCAUUCUAUGCAAGAGCUGGUGAGCUUCUCUUACCUUCCCUUCUUUGCAAAGACCAUUCAUCAAUGCAGUAUAUGAAACCAAAUCUGGCAACACACCCCUCCUAUACAUUAUCCUAUAUAAAUAAAACGCAUCAUUCAAUCUUCCUUUUCUACAAUAGCAACUGAUCAGUGUAUUAUAUGUCACUAUAUCUGGCUCAAAGCCUUCUUCCUCCAUUUUCUCCAAGAAAUCAUUCACCUUAUUGACAUCACCAUCAUGGCAAAAGACAUGGGUUAAUAUAUUAAAAGUAUAUGAAUUUGGGUGUAUACCAAUUCUCCCCAUCUCUGCAUAAACUUGCCAACACUGUUGAACGCAAUUCAAUUUCAACAACCCAUUCAAGAGACAAUUGCAGGCAAUCACACUAGGAACAUAACCAACCUCCACAAUCUUCAUAAAGGUCCUAAAACCCUCUUUAAUCAUGCCCUCUUUCACGUAUGCCUUAAUAAGCAUAUCAUAAAUGACAGGAUCCCAAUUACAAUCUUCACAACAUGAAACCAAACUACUAAACACAUCUUCACUGCGUGAAGAAUCUUUGACCGACCUAACAAAUUCAGUUAAAAAUUUCAUUGCUUGUUUGAAUUCUUUAGACCAAGCCAGGAUGUGAACAAGGUGACAAUAAUUCUGGGUAGUGGGUUUAAGACCCAGAUCAUUUUUGACCCAGUUAAAGAAAGUGAGAGCUGAAAUAGAAUCAGACUGGCAUCUCAACAAAACCCUAGAGAUUUCAUUGGUACCCAGAUGAGAAAGGAGACCCUUUAUAUCAUUUUGGAGAAGGGUUAGCCGGGUAUUAUCUUGUUUGAGGGAUGAGUAAAUGAUAUUGACUAUGUUGUUGGGGUUUUUGGUUUCAGGAAGGAGAUGGUAAAGCGGGUUUGAGAGAGGUUUAGAUUUGGAAUUGGAUAUGGUUUGA
rnacentral:misc_RNA from 1 species